UGUGUGUCCUUUUCUCUGCAGGCUGUCAGGCUGUAAAGUCACACAGAGAGGCUGUGAUUCUCUGGCUUCAGCUCUGUGUUCAAACCCCUCACACCUGAGAGAGCUGGACCUGAGAUACAAUCACCCAGGAGACUCAGGAGUGAGAGCGCUGUCUGCUGCUAAACUGGACACACUCACACUGCUUGUGGACCAUGGAGGAGAGAACAGGACCAAACCAGGACCCAGGAAAUACGGCUGUCAGCUCACACUGGAUCCAAACACAGCGCACAGAGAGCUGUCUCUGUCUGAGGGGAACAGGAGGGUGACACACACACCGGGGAGAGAGGAGCCAUAUCCUGAUCAUCCAGAGAGAUUUGAGUACGAGCCCCAGGUUGUGUGCAGAGAGAGUGUGUGUGAGCGCUGUUACUGGGAGGCUGAGUUCAGUGUGUCUGAGGGGGGAUGGGUUUAUAUAGCAGUGACAGAUAAAGGAAUCAGCAGGAAAGGAGGGGGUUCUGACUGUGUGUUUGGAUGGAAUAAAAACUCCUGGAGUCUGCGGUGCUUUAAGCACGGUCACUCUGAUAAACUCAGUUACUCUGUCUGGCACAAUGAGAACCGAACACACAUACCUGCCCUCACCUCCCCCUACCGCAGAGCAGGAGUGUGUGAUGAUGAUGAUGGUAGAGGAGUGUGUGUGUACAGGGUAGGAGUGUGUGUGGACCGUCCAGCCGGCACUCUGUCCUUCUACAGCGUCUCUGACUCUGACACACUGACCCUCCUGCACAGAUUCCACACACACUUCACUCAACACAAACCCCUCUGUGCUGGAUUUUUUGUGUGUAACUCCUCCUCAGUGUCCCUCUGCCAACUGGAGUAGAGACACACACACGCAUGUGCACACACACACACGCAUACACACACACACACACAUAUGCAUGUGCGCGCACACACAAAUAUGCAUGUGCACACACACGCAUACACACAGACACAUGCACGUGCGUGCACACACAAACAUGCACGUGCACACACACGCAUACACACACACACACACACACACACACGCAUAGACACACACACACGUGCGCAUACACACUCGCACACAUGCACGCACACACAAAUACAUACACUCAUGUACACACACACACACACCACAUUCAUAUACCCACUCACACACACAUACCACACACACUCAUUUACACAUACACACACACUCAGAUACACAUAGACACACACCCACAUACACACAUCCACACAUCCACACACACACACAUACUCUCACACACACCCUUGCUUUCUCACACUCAUGCACACGCACUCACAAAUACACACACUGAUGUACACUCAUGCACACGCACUCACACACCUACGCACUCGUGCGUACACACUCACACUCUUACACACACAUACACACCCUCUCACACCCAAUCACUCACACACCCAAUCAAACACAUGCACACACACACCUACACACAUGAUCACACACAAUCUCUCGCACACACAAACACACUCAUUCACCAGUGCACUCUCACGCACACACACGCAUGCAUGCAUACGUACACACGCUCAUAACCGUAUGCACACACACACACACACUCUCUCUCAUACUCAGUCACUCACACACACACCCUCUCUCUCACACACACAAGCACUCACAUCCACAGUCACACACACAUUCACAGAAACGUACGCACACACACACAUGCCUGCAGAGACACAAACACGUGUCAACACACACACUCCUCAGUGUCCCUCUGCUAACUGGAGUAGAGACACACACACAUGCAAGCGCACACACACACACACACACACAUACACACACACGCAAUCACACACUCACACAUAUAUAUAUACACACUCAUAUGCUCCUAGACUCACAGACAUGCACUCACACAUCUACACACACACUCGCACAACCAGUCACACACACACACCCUCUCUCUCUCUCACACACUCCAUCACACACACACACACACACACUCUCACACACACCCUUUCUCUCUGUCAUGCACACGCACUCACAAAUACAUACACUCAUGUUUACUCAUGCACACGCACUCACAGACCUAUGCACGCACACUCUCUCACACCCAGUCACUCACACACACCUACACACGGACACACACAAUCUCACGCACACACACACACACGCGCAUGCACACAUACACGCGCUCAAACACACACACUCUCACUCACACACUCACAUACAGUAUACAGACACACACAUUCGCAAACGCACGCACACACACACACAUUUAUGCAAUCACACACAAACACAAACGUGUCAACACACACACACUCUCAUUCCCAUACGCACGCACGCACACACAUGUAUAAACACACACAUUCUCUUACCCAUACGCACACACACACUCAUGCACUCACACAUGCACACACAUGCAUGCGUGCACACACCAUAUACACAUGUAUACACAAACAUUCUGACACCCAUACAUACACACACACACGUAUAAACACACACACAUUCACAAAGGCACUCUCACGCACACACACAUACACAUACAUACACUCAUUCUCUUGCACGCACACACACUCAAAUAAACAAUCACACACACAUUCACACAAACGCAUGCACACACACUUUCUCUUACCCAUACACACACGCACCCGUGUGUACACACACACAUACUCAUGCACUCAAUCAUACUCUCACACAUGCACACAUACAUACAUGCGUGCACACGCACACACAUUCUCUUACCCAUACACACACACAAUCCGGGCACACACAUACUCAUGCACUCACACACAUACACACACAUGUUCACAUCCACAGUCACUCCCACAAACGUACGCAUGUAUGCACACACAUUCACAAAUUCACGCACACAAACACACUCUCACCCAAUCACACACACACACACACACACACACAUCGACACACUUGCAACCUUCCUUGACCAAUGCCUUACCAGUGCAAUUUCAGCUGUGCCCAAUAUUAUAUAUAUAUAUAUAUAACCUAACUCCUGUACAUAAGAGUAAUAUCUUUUAGCAGUUCAGGUUAAGCACUUGCUGUCUAAAUGUGAUAUUUUUUUACAUUUUAAUACAUUUAUAUUGCAAAUGUUCAAGGUGUGUUUAUGUACUUUUGAUUAUUAAAACAUUAAUAUAACAUUGAGAGUAAUAAUGCCAAAAGAUGGCAGGGUAAAAUGUUUUUGAAGUAAUAAUUCUAUCUCCUGUAUCUGCAUCUUUUUUAAAAGAAUCCAGUGGCAAACUCCUCCACUUAAAUGUGCAUUUUACUAGUUUUUACAGUUGCUUUCAUUCAUUUUCACAAGAGUUCCAAUGUGCAAAUUUCUGUUGGCAAAUGCAGCUGAUAGGGAGAAUGCAGAAUGAUCACUGCAGUGUACUUAUUUCCUUUCAUUACUGUAAACAAUGAUGGAUUGAGUUUCCUUAUUAAUUCUUUUAGGAUUUUUUUUUUUUUUUUGCUUUAAUUUUCUGUAUUUUCAGACAAUAAUAUGCAAUGAUUAAACCUGAAUUAUUAAAAUAUCAAA